rnacentral:lncRNA from 1 species
AUCUAUUACUAUCUCAGCCGCAUCCACACUAACGCAUUCAUCCUCGGUUGACGCAUAACUGACAGUAGGAUUCUUGUAAAUCGUCCCCCGAGACGGAGUUUUCGAAAUCUUUUCCUCGCGGAGCAAAUAAUCAUACUGUUCGACAUGUUGGGCUAAUUCAUACAUAUCUCGAACAUUUGCGCCCAAGAAUUUCUUUUUGUAUUCGACGUCGAGGCCGU